CUCACGGAUCCCACCUUACAGUUAAAAGAGCCAAUCACCUUUUAGAUACAGACAUCACCUGUCAAUCAACUCUAGAAUGCGCAUGCACAUUAGCUAUACAAGCUGGGAAAAAUUGCGUUUUUUGCAUAAUAUGAGAUAGGAGCUGCACUGGCAUGACUGGAAAUAGUCUCCCAGGAGCGUUCCAAAGAUGGCCGACAGUGGACUGACUUGCUAUACAGACUUUGAUGAUGGUGGUGGAAGAAGUUCACCUGUUUUUUUCAAGUGGAGAAGUUUAACAAAAAUUUCAGUUUUUACAGAAUGCAUUUUUUAAUGAUACUGUUAUUGCACAU